rnacentral:rRNA from 1 species
UACGUAGGGUGCAAGCGUUAAUCGGAAUUACUGGGCGUAAAGCGUGCGCAGGCGGUUUUGUAAGUCUGUCGUGAAAUCCCCGGGCUUAACCUGGGAAUGGCCGUUGAAACUGGCGAACUGGAGUGUGGCAGAGGGGGGUGGAAUUCCGCGUGUAGCAGUGAAAUGCGUAGAGAUGCGGAGGAACACCGAUGGCGAAGGCAGCCCCCUGGGCUAACACUGACGCCUCAGGCACGAAAGCGUGGGGAGCAAACAGG